rnacentral:rRNA from 1 species
CCUGAUCCAGCCAUGCCGCGUGAGUGAAGAAGGCCCUCGGGUUGUAAAGCUCUUUUGUCCGGAAAGAAAAGCGCCGGGUUAAUACCCUCGUGUCCUGACGGUACCGGAAGAAUAAGCACCGGCUAACUUCGUGCCAGCAGCCGCGGUAAUACGAAGGGUGCAAGCGUUACUCGGAAUUACUGGGCGUAAAGCGUGCGUAGGUGGUUUGUUAAGUCUGAUGUGAAAGCCCUGGGCUCAACCUGGGAAUUGCAUUGGAUACUGGCAGGCUAGAGUGCGGUAGAGGGUAGUGGAAUUCCCGGUGUAGCAGUGAAAUGCGUAGAGAUCGGGAGGAACAUCUGUGGCGAAGGCGACUACCUGGACCAGCACUGACACUGAGGCACGAAAGCGUGGGGAGCAAACAGGAUUAGAUACCCUGGUAGUCCACGCCCUAAACGAUGCGAACUGGAUGUUGGGUCAACUUGGAGCUCAGUAUCGAAGCUAACGCGUUAAGUUCGCCGCCUGGGGAGUACGGUCGCAAGACUGAAACUCAAAGGAAUUGACGG